rnacentral:rRNA from 1 species
AUGCCGCGUGCAGGAUGACUGCCCUAUGGGUUGUAAACUGCUUUUAUACGGGAAGAAAAACACCUACGUGUAGGUGACUGACGGUACCGUAAGAAUAAGGACCGGCUAACUCCGUGCCAGCAGCCGCGGUAAUACGGAGGGUCCAAGCGUUAUCCGGAAUCAUUGGGUUUAAAGGGUCCGUAGGCGGGCUAUUAAGUCAGGGGUGAAAGUUUGCAGCUCAACUGUAAAAUUGCCUUUGAUACUGGUAGUCUUGAAUUGUAGUGAAGUGGUUAGAAUAUGUGGUGUAGCGGUGAAAUGCAUAGAUAUCACAUAGAAUACCGAUUGCGAAGGCAGAUCACUAACUAUAUAUUGACGCUGAGGGACGAAAGCGUGGGGAGCGAACGGGAUUAGAUACCCCGGUAGUCCACGCCGUAAACGAUGGAUACUAGCUGUUGGAUUUUUUCAGUGGCUAAGCGAAAGUGAUAAGUAUCCCACCUGGGGAGUACGUUCGCAAGAA